AUCUCAGGUUCCUUCUCUUAUAAUUUGGGAGAGCAAUUGAACUGGAUAAUCUCAAAGAUCUGACCUUCCUAAAUGUGAGAAAUAAGAGAAAACCCUUUAGCUGUUUCUCAAAAUUAUACUACUGAAACCUCAAAGGAAUUUCUACAACCAAAGGGAAAAAAGGGGCUGAAGCACCUAUUCCAGGGAUUAGCAACAAGACCUCACUUGGUAAGUACUUACUAUACAGCUCACCUCUCUACUUCAGAGCCAACAUGUCUACACAGGAG
rnacentral:lncRNA from 1 species